UACGUAGGCAGCGAGCGUUGUUCGGAGUUACUGGGCGUAAAGGGUGCGUAGGCGGUUGUUUAAGUUUGGUGUGAAAUCUCCCGGCUCAACUGGGAGGUGCGCCGAAUACUGAAUGACUAGAGUGCGGGAGAGGAGAGUGGAAUUCCUGGUGUAAGCGGUGAAUGCGUAGAUAUCAGGAGGAACACCGGUGGUGUAGACGGCUCUCUGGACCGUAACUGACGGCUGAGGCACGAAAGCGUGGGUAGCAAACAGG
rnacentral:rRNA from 1 species